rnacentral:rRNA from 1 species
UACAGAGGUCUCAAGCGUUGUUCGGAUUCAUUGGGCGUAAAGGGUGCGUAGGCGGCGCGGUAAGUCGGGUGUGAAAUCUCGGGGCUUAACUCCGAAACUGCAUUCGAUACUGCCGUGCUUGAGGACUGGAGAGGAGACUGGAAUUUACGGUGUAGCGGUGAAAUGCGUAGAUAUCGUAAGGAAGACCAGUGGCGAAGGCGGGUCUCUGGACAGUUCCUGACGCUGAGGCACGAAGGCCAGGGGAGCGAACGGG